rnacentral:lncRNA from 1 species
UUACACAGUGGAAUGUAGAGUGUAGCAACUGCCCUGGGAGGGCCUAUAGGCCAUAGCAACCUGGCUGUAGCUGUGGUUGACCAAUCAACACAGGACAGGUCACCCAAACCUGGAAGUGCACCAAUCCUGAGACUGUUGUGGGCCCCAGACACUCCCCUUGAUCUACCUCAAUAUAUUUCCUGCCCCAUGGUCCUCUAAGCCCUUCUUGUUCUACCCACUGUGUUGGAUGGAUGGAAGAUGCAAGUUAAUACAGUUAACUUAUUAAUUAAAGACUCUUUGCUUUUGCAUCAGAUCCAGUCUCUUGGUAAUUUUGGGGUUCAGAGUUUGGGUACAACAAAAGUUUUUACUGCUUUAUAUUAUUGCCAAAUUUGGGGGGGGGACAGUCCUUUAUCUCAUAGGUCUUUUGGGGACAGGGAAAGUCCAAAUUUUAGCAAAUAUAUUGAUGAGAAUUAUAUUAUAUGGCCAUCUAGCUGCAAGAGAAGCCAGGAACACACACAGAUUUCCACCUUCCAUGUUAGAAAUAAAGAGAAAAGACCAAUAAGGAAUAUUUGUCUCAAAGCUGAACAUUGAAACCAUCUACUUUUCACAGCCAGCAUGGAUACAGAUCCCAAAUCACAUCUUACUGUGUGUCUCAGUUUGUCUUUAUAUUAUUUCUUUGUAUUCAUUAGCAUGACCUUAUUUUUGCAAAUGGAGACAAUCAGCAGAAGUUCUGGGAAGUAAUAAAGAAUCAUAAGGGUGGAGGAGACACAAAAAAACCUGCCUCAGACUCAAAGCUAAAGCUCUAAGAAACCUUUCCCACCAGCCAGUUCCCAAAUAACCAUACAGAGGCUUUUAUUAAUUAUAAAUACUUAGGGGAUAGCUUAGGCUUGUUCCUAACUUGCUUGUAUAACUUAAAUUAACCCUUUUCUAUUAAUCUAUAUGCUGCUUACUUCAUCUAUGAACUUCCCAUGUUGCUUCUUCCUUGUCUGGCUUGAGACUCUCGUGGCUCCCUGACUCAGCCCUUUCUUUGUCCUAGAAUUUUUGUCUGGUUCUCCCACCUAACCUUACCCUUCCUAGCUAUAGGCCAGUCAUCUUUAUUAAACCACUUUAAAAUAAGGUAGGAUUUAAACCACUUUCCAUAUGGUUCUCUCAGUUCUGCAUUUUCAAGGCCUUUAUUUUCCAUUUAGAGCAGUUUUUGGACUUUAAUUCUCCUUUGAUAAACAAUCAAAUCUCUUAUCUCCCUAAAGGGACAUUACCAGGUUCAAAGUAAUGUAAGCAUCAUGGCUAGACAGAAAACAAUGGUAGUUUUCUAAGAACAGCUACACUUGGGCCUUUAGAGAGCACAUUUUUCACUUCCUUGCUGUUUUCCUUGCUUCAUUUUCAAAGCCUGCUACCUUGGCUCACACAGAGAUGGGGACUCUUCCAGUAGCAAAUGUCCAGCGCUGGAAAUGGUGGUAUAAUGGCACCCAACUGUGUGUGCGCUCUGUCCCUGUUAUGUUUUCCCCAAGUAUCUCCUACAACUACCACGCAGCUUGGGCCAAGCAAGUCUUUCUUGAGGCCUUGUUCUGGCAACGGCUGAGUAUGUGGAAAAAAGGGUUUUCCCCUGGAGUUUCACCACAGAAAUUUGGGUUGAUUUCUGACACAAGGAAAAGUUAUAACUGGUUUCACCUUGGAGUCUAGCUGGAUGAAGUUGGAAUUUCCUUUUCUUGGUCACAAAAGUCCCAAUUUCUUUAGAGUGCUGUCAAGAUGUGGAAAUGAAAAGAAAUUUUAAUGUCGACUUGAAGAUCCAGAACCAGAUCUGUGUUAUAAAUACUGAUGGGAGUUCGAAGCCAGCAUGGUCUACAGAGUGAGUGUCAGGACACGCUCCAAAGCUACACAGGGAAACCCUGUCUCAAAACAAAACAAAACAUAAUAAAAUAAACAAGAACAACACAAAUUUAAAAUAAGGUAGGAUAGAAAGAUGAAAAAUUAAGGGAGCAUGGGAAGGACAGGAGCUACUCAUCCUGGAGUCUGGUUGAAGGCUCUCCCUAGAUGAGAGUCAAGGAUUCCAGCUCAAUAGCGUUAUUUGCAGCAGAAGUUGCCUACAUGAAACAAACACAGAAAUGUUUCAAAAAGAACAUUGAGGGUUGGUGAGAAGGGCCAGCCGGGAAAGCUCUUGCUGUGCAAACCUGAUGACCUGUCUUCAUUACUUUUCUGUUGCUGUGACAAAUCUUCAUGACCAAGUCAAUUUAUAGAAGAGAGCAUUUAAUCUGAGGUUCAUGCUUCCAAAAGGACUCUCCUAAGGACCCCCUUGUGCAGCCCUUGUGACCAAGUUUUACCUUAUCACAUUGCAGUCCUAUCCAAGAUACCCACACACCCCUCUAUAGUCUCAUUUGCCAAAAAAGAAGGUGUUGCCACAGCAAGGCUAUAAUGUGUGCUGGGAAGGACUCCUUACAUUCAUGGCAUCAAGGAUCUUAUACCAGAGGCCUAAUUCAGCCUUCUGCAGCUUGUCUCCAUUCUUACCACCUUUCUGCUUCCUGCCAUAUGGAGAUGAAAACCCUCACCAGAUCCCAACACCUUGAUCUUUGACUUCCUGCUUUCCAGAACUGUGAGAAAAUGAUAGUCUGCAUUGCCCAGCCUUCUUAGUCUCAGCCCCGGUUCCUGUCCAGCCCCCAAGAGCAAAUGUGCAGCCGAUAGCAACAUUGGAAGCUCUGUCUUGCUAAGAACAUUAUAGAAUGGAAUGUUAGCCACUGUGGGAUGUGUUUGGAAUCAAUGAUGCUCCACCGAGGAACACUGCUCUGCUGCCCAGGUGUGAUUCCCUUUUUGUCCCACCUUGCCAGCUCACCCAGAAGGCUUCACCCAGAGCACAGACUGGUCAGUGUAGGGCAGAGGUAUCUAUAGUGGUGGGGUUGGGGGGCAGGGAGGACACCUGAUUUUUCAAACUGUAGCAUAAAUAGAUGUAAGGCUCAUUUUAACAUGCCCAGUUAAUCUGGAAUGAGUGUUUGCAGACAAAACACAGGACCCCUACUUGCUCUUGCACUUCAGAUAAACAAUACUUCAUUCAAACAAGAUAAAUAGCCUAGACCACAGCUGCUAGAAGACUCACAGGCUGCUGGUGUGGUCAGGAUUGCUGCCACAGCUAAAAGACCUCCUCUGGAGCAGGAGCCUCCUGUGUUCCCUAGGAGCUCUGGGUUAGUCCAGCUUAGUCAGAGGAAGAGAGAGAAGUCCUUCCAGGCUAUUAUCUGUCUGAAUGUGCCAGUGGCCAGCAAAUCUGAACCAGACUGAGGUGUGUUACUGCUUUGGUUCUGAGUUCUCCUCUCAAAUUACCAUCCAAGGCACGGGAGCCAUCUUCCCCAGCAGCAGCAUCCAUGCCCAGCCCUCAGUCAGUGGAACUCGGUGUGCUUCUGAAUACCCCCUGGCAGGCCUUCCCUGUAUUUGCAGAGUCUGUGACAAGAGCAAACAAAACCUGCUGCAAAUUGGAAAAUGCUCUUCCACAAAAACAAACUAGAAAGAAAUGUGGAAAUUCUGACUUGUACAAGACUGGAAGUUGGCAGACUAUUAAAGAUGAUGAAAUUUAAUUAUCACUGCACAUGUCUGGGUGUUCUGUUGAGAAGUCAGAGAUGUCUGGAUGGGCAAAAACAUAAAUUAUACAAUGUUGUGUGCAUAGCCCAUAAAAUCUGUUUUUCUUGUAUUCCUUUCAACAAAAUUGUGUUGGUACGCUAAACAUAUUUACAUAAUUUGUGUUCUAUUGGCAGUAACUACCUAGAAAGUAUAAGUUGGCCAAUCUUUUCUGUAUGUUACUAGCUAUAGAAAUCAAUGUUUUUGAGACCCAUUUGUGA